UGUAAGCGUAUACCAAAGUUGUUGCAGUUAAAACGCUCGUAGUCGGAAUUUGGCAGUUCCGGAUGUGUGCACGUCGUGUGCGCACUUCGCGGUGAUUGCUUUUGUGGUCUUGCGUAGGAUGAGGCACUUUUAUUAGUGAACGUCCUCACGCAACCACUUUUUACUGUGAGAAAAUCAGAGUGCUCAAAGCAGGCAUUUGCCGUGAAUGUAUUAGCAUGGAAUAAUAGAAUAGGACUUGGUUCUAUUUUGUUGGUUUGUUGGGACUGAGUAAUGAUUAAGAGGGACAGUUGGGGGCAUUUGUAUUUCGGUGCUAGAGGUGAAAUUCUUAGAUUACCGAAAGACAAACUGCUGCGAAAGCGUCUGCCAAGGAUGUUUUCAUUGA
rnacentral:rRNA from 1 species